ensembl:lncRNA
AUCCCUCUGGCCUGCAGGAGGAUCACGAGUUCUCGUGUGGCUUCGCUGAAAAUCCAGUUGUGUGAUGUCAAUGGCAUUUCCCUUCAGAAAAAGGAAAUGAGGUUAGCGAGCAUGUUACCAGGAAAGGAAAGUUAGCUGGGCCCCACCCUCUGCAGCCCUUGCUCCCCUCUCAGAGCAUGCGAGGCCCCUCCGCCUAGGGCUGGGGACAGGACCCAGAAAUGUCGCGGUUCAAACAGAGGCACCAACACAAUAUAGGUGAGUGUUGACUGUUAGAUCUAUGACUUCCAAGCAGGGCUGGGCGCCCCCCAACAGAGUCAGCACCCUCUCCAGUGCCUGUGGCCUGGACCUGGCCACACUGGGAGACUGAGGUCACAGGAAGCCCCAGGGGACUCAUUCAAUGCCAGCAAGGCCCUAAGGGUGAGCUCCCUGCACAUUACGAGGCUGAGGCCCAGAGAGGAGAAGGGACAUGGCCAAGAGCACAGGGCAAGUCAGAGAACCCGGGUACAGGUCACAUAGCCCCUGGGGGGCAGUGGUUCCAGAAAGCCUGUCAUGCUGCAGGGCCCCCAGAAUGCCCUGCUCCUAGUGGACGUCCCCAGAAAGUCCUUCUCCAAUUACAGCUAUUAAGUGCUUUUAAUAAACCCCUGACCUUUAACUUUUGAACAUUCCUUAAAAUGCUGUUACGAAGACAAAACGAAAACAAAUUCCAAUCCAUCUAAUUAAAUUGCUGGAUACUUUUGAACUGAAAGAAAAAAUAGUAAAUUGACAAAUUUGUGUGUUUAGCAAACCAGUCAUGUGCAAGACUGAUCACUUGGCAAACUGGCCAUGGGAGCACAGAUCCCAUGCACCAGCCGCCUCCUGGCUGAGCGCCCCGCGGGCAGGGCCCAGGGCCAGCUCCUCUCCCCAACCCUUACCCAGGGCCCGGCUCGCAGCGGGCUAGGACGUUGGUGAGUUAGUACACUAAGGACAUGGAAUUCUGACAUGGGACCUGAAUGUCCUCGAGGGUUGGAGGGCUGAUGGGGCGGAUUAGCAAUGGUGACCUUGGUCACCCCGAUACAGUGAGGUAACAGGGUGGAAAAAAUCCUCACCUUUGCUUUACUGCAAAAGUCAACUUGGGUCAUACUUUCCACUGUGCCCCCCGCAGGGAGGGCGUCUGGCUCACCUCCCACACACCCAGGGGCUGGGGGUUUUCAGGUGACUCGGAACUAGGUACUUGUGUGUCUGCACAUUUGCAGGAUCCCUCAGCAACAACGGAGCCAGAAAAGGCAGUGUGUGCCCUGUGUGCAGUGUUGGUGAGCUUGUAUAUGUGCAUGCAAGGGUACAUGUGUGUGUGAGCAUGCAGGCAUGUGCACAUGUGUUUGCACAUGUGGACGGCUGUGGUGUGUGGUUUCUGUUAUGCAUAUACAAAUGCUUGUGUAUCUGUGUUUAUUGCUGUUGUGUGUGAGUAUAUGUGAAUGAAGUAUUUAUGCAGACCGUGUUUGUGUGGCGUGCGUGUGUUUGUGCGAGCAUCCAUUUGUUUACAGGCUUUCACCAUGCAAGUGUAUUGAGUUUAUGUACCUGUUGAUCCAUGGACGUGUCUGAUGACUGGGUAUGUACAAGUAUGCAUAUGUUUGUGCUUUCUGUGUGAAUACAUGCUUGUGUGUUGAUGUAAAUCUGCAUGAGUGUGUGGGAUGUGUGUGCACGUUUCUGUAGGAUGCGAGUGUGCCCUGUAGGUGCAUCUUAAAGUAGGAAUGUGGAUGGGUGAAAUGUGUAUGUGUGGGAUGCUGUGGGAAUGAGUGUUUUGUGUGCCUGUGUGGAGAUCUACAAAUGUGUGUACAUGGGUGAAUCUGUACGUGAAGCGUGUGCGUGCACGUGUGAUAUGUGUGGUGUGUAUGAGUGUGUGUGGUUGCAGGUAUGUGCAUGCACAAACGUACCCUUGUUGUCCUUUUCUUUCCUUUCCUCCUGGGGAACUACAGAGCUUCUAAGUCCUAACCGUGGCUGGUGGCUCUUCCAGGAACAUGGUUUCCUGGACUUGAAGAGUGAGAACGUCAGAGGCCCCACGUGAGUGAGGAAGGGAGGUGGGCCCGAGGCCUGGGCUCCUCCGAGAACUGGGCGGAGGCCCCAAGGGCCACGGCUGCAGGCCAGCCUGGUGAAGGGGCUGGGACACCCAGGGCCUCAGCACCCCCUGCAUGCCCUGGGGAGUAUUGCUGCCACCUCUGGUCUUCAGUCUGCCCCUCAGUGGCUUUUAAAGCCUUUUUUGGUGGGGGGAGUAGAGCCAAAAGAAAAUCUCACAAGGAUGCCUGCUGUGGAAAGCAGAUGAACAAGUGGGAAGGCUCGGGUAGGGAGGGCCUGGGAAGCAUCUCCAUGGAAGAUAGGGCUAAGCUCCCAGCCCGGCUAUCCCUGGGCCUGCUCAGUUUACAUUCCAGUUUGCAGUUUAACAACACACCUCCAAGCGUAAUCUCAGCUAAUCCUCAUGAACUGCUUCCAGGCUGUGUGGGGAGCUGGAAGCAGGGCGGGGACAUGGACUGGCCCUGGUUCCACUCCUGCUCCCUCUUCUAGCUGAGCAACGUCUGCGCCCCCAGCCUCUCUCACAGCGGGGAUCAUGUGAGACCACGCAAGUUGACACCGUGUUCCGUCCACACCUGGCACACAGUAAGCCGUUGUGCUAAGAUUAUCACUUUACAGAUGGGGAAACUGAGACCUGGAGAGGCUCUCUGACUUUGUCCGAAGUCAACCUAGAGAUGCUGGAAAAGACUGAGGCCCAUCCUGACCUCAGAUGUCCACCGUCUGUCACGAGAAGUGUUUUCUUGUUCCUCCGAGCUUGGCCAGGCCGUGGUAAACCCCACAUGUGGUUCUGUGGUUGCCCACACAGACCUAAAAAUAGCCAACAGGAGCCCGGGGACUCCCCCCUUGGUAAAUGGCAGAAGGCCCAGUCCUCGGGCAGCCACGGACCUGCUCUGCCCCACAGACGAGCGGGUCCUGUCUAGGGAGGGCGGGGCGGCCUGGGUACCGCGUGUGAUGUGCCAGAGCCUGUGCCGAGCUGGUAACACAGAUUAUUUUAUUUCAUUGGUUUGGUGUGUUUUUUAGAGUCUGUGAUGGCCCAUUGGACAGACAUGGAAAUUGAGGCUCAGAGAGAUGAAGUGACCUGCCCAGGGUCAAGGAGCUUCAGUGAGAACCCAAGUUGUUCUGGUCCAAGGCCUGUGUUCUUAAUCCCUCACCCCCUCAGUCCUUCCCUAUCCUGAGCCUGGGGGCAGCUGGUGCAGGGGCGAGAGCAGGAGCUUUGGAGCCACAGACCUGGCCUCAGAUCCCAGCCUCACUGGGGCCUCCGUGUGGCCUCGGUGAGUCUUCAGCCUCAGUCUCCUCACCUACAAUCAGGGGCCACAUUGCCACUAUGUGGAUCCUGGUGGGGAUCGAAUGCAAUAAGGCAUGGAAGCACCCGGGGAGGGCCUGGCAUGCAGUGAGAGCUCACUGUCUCCACCCCCAACUACUCAGGACCACGCUUCCAAGGCAGGGCUGAGAGAGGCUGUGUGGGCUGAGCCUCUGGAAGUGUCCUGCCAGGUCAGGGAAGUGGGACUGCUAUGGGAGGUCAGGAGAGGAGGUCCCUGUGGGAGGCGUACUUUCCAAAAAUGGCCUCAGGAGCAUUUCCAGGUCCACACACUGGAAACUUGUCAUUCUCCAUCGAGAGAUGGAGUCUAUUGCCCCACUCCUUGAAACUGGGCAAAACUUUGUGACUGGCUCAAUGAGCAGAAUGCAGCAGAAUCGUCAUCCCACAACUUCCCAGGCUAAAUCUACGAAGGGAAUACAGCUUCCACCUGUCUGUUUGUCUGUCUGCCUGCCUGUCUCUGUCUCUGGAAUCCAGCCACCAUAUUGUGAGGAAGCCCAGGCCAUAUGAGAAGGACACUAUGGGUGCUCUUGCCAACAGCCUCAGUUAAGGUCUUGGCCAGUGACCAGCUUCAGCCACUGGACACAUGCAUGAACGACUCUUCAAACGAUUCCAGGUCCUGACUACAACCAAGCCAGGUCACGUCAAGCAGAGCAGAGGCGAAUGAUGCCCUCUGAGCCUCCCCAAAUGCAGGUUUGAGAACAAAGUAAACGUCCCUGUUUCAAGCGCUAAGUUUCUGGUACUCAGCACUGGGUAACAGGAACCGCCCUCCUGCCCUGCAGCCCUCCAAGCCACCCCAGCCAGGUACAGCUCUGGAUGCCGUCACAUGGACAACCCUCCCCACGGCCCAGCGAGGAAGGACGAGCAGGGAGAGCCGUGGCACAGAUGCAGAAACUGGGGCUCUGAGAGAGAGGAAGUGACUUUCCCAGAGUCACACAGCAAGUGGCAGAGCUGGGACGCAAACCUUGGCUCCGCCACAAGCCCAUCCUCCGUGGGGACUUCUGAUUCUGAUGAUUCCCAAAGUUCCUCCAGAACCCACACCCUAUGCCAGGGUUCCUCCUGGCAGAUGAGUGAGGUCAGGCAGAGGGGAAGGGCAGGACAGCCCGAGCUCGGUGAACUGCACUCCAUCACUGCCCCAUGUGAGAGACAGGCUGACCCUGCUUGCUCUACCUCCACGUGGACUUGAGACCCUGCCAUAGCCCUCAAGGCCCUAGGAGGCCAAUGGCCUUCCUGGCCCUCCAGCCUCUUCUCCCCUUUUCCUCCUUUGCCCUGUGAGCUCCUGCCGUAUGGUUUUCUUUGCUUUCUUAAAUAUACCAGGCCCCCAGCUGCAGGGCCUUUGCACGUGCAGUUCCCUUAGCUUAGGAGCCACAGCCCCUUCCAUGUCCAUUCUUAACGCCUCUUCAUCCUUCCAUCAUUUUAAAUAACGGCUUUAUUGAGAUAUAAUUCAUAUAUCACACAUUCACCUAUUUAAAGUACAUAAUUCAGUGGUUUUUAGUAUAUCCACAGAUUUGGGUAACCAUCACCACAAACAAUUUUAGAAUAUUUGCACCCCCCUCCCCACCCCCACAAAGCCCUGUACUGGUUAGCAGUCACUGCCGCCACCUCCUCACUGUUUGGCAACCUCUAAUCUAAUCUCCGUCUCUAUGGAUUUUCCUAUUCUGGACAUUUUGUAUAAAAGGAAUCAUACACUAUGUGGUCUUUGAGACUGGCUUCUUUCGCUUAGCACAAUGUUUUCAGGAUUCAUCCAUGUUAUAGUAUAUGCCAGUCCUACGUCGCUCUUUAUUGCUGAACAAUAUUCCAUCGGAUGGACACACCACAUCUUGUUUAUCCAUUCCUCAGUUGAUGGACAUUGGGUUGUUUCCACUUUUUGGCUAUUAUGAAUAAUGCUGCUAUGAACAUUCCUGCUCAAAUUUUCUGUGUGGAUGUGUGUUUUCAUUUCUCUUGUAUAUAUUCCUAGGAGUGGAAUUGCUGGAUCAUGUGGUUGUUCUGUGUUUAACCUUUCAAGUUACUGCCAGACUGUUUCCCACAGAGGCUGCAUCAUUUUCCACUGCAACUAGCAGUUAUUAGAGUUCAAGUUUCUUCAUAUCCUCAUCAAUGCUUUUUAUCUUUUUAUCUUUCUAUGGCCAUUGUAGCCGUUUUCAUACCCAUGAGAGCCAACAGGCCUGGCAGACAGCGUUCUAAUCCCGCCCUCACACCAUCCGGCUGUGUGACAUCUUUGGACUCUAAAACCAGAUCAUUGCAUAUGCUGAGUGGUUUACUCCUUUUCUCUAUUUGGAUGCAGAACUGUCUCUUCAUUUGAAAUAAGAGGAACCCAAUAUAACUGAUAUCUCAUUGUGGUUUUGAGUUGCGUUUCCCUGAUGGCUAAUGAUGUCAGAGCAUCUUUUCACGGGCUUAUUGGCCAUUUGUAUAUCUUCUAUGGAGAAAUGUCUAUCCAGAUCCUUUGCUCAUUUUUCAAUUGGGUUAUUUGUUUUUUAAGAUUGAAUUGUAAGAAUUCUUUAUACUAUAUUCUAGAUACAAGCUCCUUAUCAGUUAUAUGAUUUUCAAAAUUUUUUCUCAUUCUUAAUGGUGGU